rnacentral:rRNA from 1 species
CAGGCUUAACACAUGCAAGUCGAGGGGCAGCAUUUCAGUUUGCUUGCAAACUGGAGAUGGCGACCGGCGCACGGGUGAGUAACACGUAUCCAACCUGCCGAUAACUCGGGGAUAGCCUUUCGAAAGAAAGAUUAAUACCCGAUGGUAUAAUCAGACCGCAUGGUCUUGUUAUUAAAGAAUUUCGGUUAUCGAUGGGGAUGCGUUCCAUUAGGCAGUUGGUGAGGUAACGGCUCACCAAACCUUCGAUGGAUAGGGGUUCUGAGAGGAAGGUCCCCCACAUUGGAACUGAGACACGGUCCAAACUCCUACGGGAGGCAGCAGUGAGGAAUAUUGGUCAAUGGGCGCAGGCCUGAACCAGCCAAGUAGCGUGAAGGAUGACUGCCCUAUGGGUUGUAAACUUCUUUUAUAUGGGAAUAAAGUUUUCCACGUGUGGAAUUUUGUAUGUACCAUAUGAAUAAGGAUCGGCUAACUCCGUGCCAGCAGCCGCGGUAAUACGGAGGAUCCGAGCGUUAUCCGGAUUUAUUGGGUUUAAAGGGAGCGUAGGUGGACAGUUAAGUCAGUUGUGAAAGUUUGCGGCUCAACCGUAAAAUUGCAGUUGAUACUGGCUGUCUUGAGUACAGUAGAGGUGGGCGGAAUUCGUGGUGUAGCGGUGAAAUGCUUAGAUAUCACGAAGAACUCCGAUUGCGAAGGCAGCUCACUGGACUGCAACUGACACUGAUGCUCGAAAGUGUGGGUAUCAAACAGGAUUAGAUACCCUGGUAGUCCACACAGUAAACGAUGAAUACUCGCUGUUUGCGAUAUACAGUAAGCGGCCAAGCGAAAGCAUUAAGUAUUCCACCUGGGGAGUACGCCGGCAACGGUGAAACUCAAAGGAAUUGACGGGGGCCCGCACAAGCGGAGGAACAUGUGGUUUAAUUCGAUGAUACGCGAGGAACCUUACCCGGGCUUAAAUUGCAUUUGAAUAUAUUGGAAACAGUAUAGCCGUAAGGCAAAUGUGAAGGUGCUGCAUGGUUGUCGUCAGCUCGUGCCGUGAGGUGUCGGCUUAAGUGCCAUAACGAGCGCAACCCUUAUCUUUAGUUACUAACAGGUCAUGCUGAGGACUCUAGAGAGACUGCCGUCGUAAGAUGUGAGGAAGGUGGGGAUGACGUCAAAUCAGCACGGCCCUUACGUCCGGGGCUACACACGUGUUACAAUGGGGGGUACAGAAGGCAGCUACCUGGUGACAGGAUGCUAAUCCCAAAAGCCUCUCUCAGUUCGGAUCGAAGUCUGCAACCCGACUUCGUGAAGCUGGAUUCGCUAGUAAUCGCGCAUCAGCCAUGGCGCGGUGAAUACGUUCCCGGGCCUUGUACACACCGCCCGUCAAGCCAUGAAAGCCGGGGGUACCUGAAGUACGUAACCGCAAGGAGCGUCCUAGGGUAAAACUGGUAAUUGGGGCUAAGUCA